rnacentral:rRNA from 1 species
UACGAAGGGGGCUAGCGUUGCUCGGAAUCACUGGGCGUAAAGGGUGCGUAGGCGGGUCUUUAAGUCAGGGGUGAAAUCCUGGAGCUCAACUCCAGAACUGCCUUUGAUACUGAGGAUCUUGAGUUCGGGAGAGGUGAGUGGAACUGCGAGUGUAGAGGUGAAAUUCGUAGAUAUUGGGAAGAACACCGGUGGCGAAGGCGGCCAUCUGGACCGUAUCUGACGCUGAGGCGCGAAAGCGUGGGGAGCAAACAGG